UACGAAGGGGGCUAGCGUUGCUCGGAAUCACUGGGCGUAAAGCGCACGUAGGCGGAUUGUUAAGUCAGGGGUGAAAUCCUGGAGCUCAACUCCAGAACUGCCUUUGAUACUGGCGAUCUCGAGUCCGGGAGAGGUGAGUGGAACUGCGAGUGUAGAGGUGAAAUUCGUAGAUAUUCGCAAGAACACCAGUGGCGAAGGCGGCUCACUGGCCCGGUACUGACGCUGAGACACGAAGGCCAGGGGAGCAAACGGG
rnacentral:rRNA from 1 species